UACGUAGGGUGCGAGCGUUUGUCCGGAAUUACUGGGCGUAAAGCGUGCGCAGGCGGCGCGUUUAAGACAGGUGUGAAAAGCCCCGAGCUUAACUUGGGAAUUGCGCUUGUGACUGGCGUGCUGGAGUGUGGCAGAGGGAGGUGGAAUUCCACGUGUAGCAGUGAAAUGCGUAGAGAUGUGGAGGAACACCGAUGGCGAAGGCAGCCUCCUGGGCCAGCACUGACGCUCAUGCACGAAAGCGUGGGGAGCAAACAGG
rnacentral:rRNA from 1 species